UACGAAGGGGGCUAGCGUUGCUCGGAAUUACUGGGCGUAAAGCGCACGUAGGCGGCUUCUUAAGUCGGGGGUGAAAUCCUGGAGCUCAACUCCAGAACUGCCUUCGAUACUGGGAAGCUCGAGUCCGGGAGAGGUGAGUGGAACUGCGAGUGUAGAGGUGAAAUUCGUAGAUAUUCGCAAGAACACCAGUGGCGAAGGCGGCUCACUGGCCCGGUACUGACGCUGAGGUGCGAAAGCGUGGGGAGCAAACAGG
rnacentral:rRNA from 1 species